rnacentral:rRNA from 1 species
AUGGACGCACGGAUGAGGCUGAUAAUCCAGGCAACAACACUGAUUAGUGUGAUUCAGGCAUGGGUCAUGUUCAUGCACCAGAGAGCUGUUCGCCGUGCUUGGAGACCGUUGAACCGCUAUGGUCCAUUGUUUCCCCGGGAACAGGAGAGGAUCCAAAAUCUGAUCUACAUCUACAACCAUGACGUCGAGGCUCUGUGGAUGCUUAGAAUGAAAAGAGCACCAUUUUCCAGGCUUGUCGAGACCUUCAGGAGCAGGGGCCUAUUACAAGAUAGCAUCAAAUCCACUGUCGAAGAGCAAGUGGCCAUGUUCCUCCAUGUUGUUGGCCAUAACCAGAGGUUCAGGGUCAUUCACAACACGUUCAGGAGAUCAAUGUAGACCAUCUCUAGGUACUUCAAGAAGGUGCUUUUUGCUGUUGGGGAGCUUAGAGGAGAGAUGAUCAGGAGACCAUAUGGCCAGACUCCACCCAAGAUUCGGGGAAGCCCAAGAUGGUAGCCAUACUUCAAGGUGAGUGUCGGUGUCAAAACCGGUGGAUCUCGGGUAGGGAGUCCCGAACUGUGCGUCUAA